UGUGUUCGGCGUUUGCACUCUUGUCAAUAUAAUUUUUCUUACUAAUAUGUAAAAUCCAAAACCAGUCAACAGAGUGAAUGUACAUGUACUGAUGCGAGAUCAUCAGCUGCCAAAUUAGAAAGAGAAAGCGACAGAAAGGGAGGCACUCGUCUUUAGCUAAGAGAAUAUAACAAGAGAAAGAUGGUUAAAGAUAAGAGAAGUGAAAGUGAGAAACAUGUGUGCCAACCUCUUGACAGGAGACACAACUUUGGUUAUGGACAGAAUCCGUCCGGUGUUCAUGGCAACUUCCCUCAUUCAGCUCCCAAUCAAUCGUGGGCACCAGCGUCUCAAAACCAAUCUGAAAUUUACCGGCACACACAAGCCUGGGGCUCGGUAUUUAGGGAUAGAGCUCAUUUUGUAGAAAUGCAUUUAGUUUAGUAAAACUUUUCACUAUUGAUAUAUUGAAUACCUAAGAAUGUAAUUGUGAUGAAAUUUUGUGAAUUAUUUUGAAUGAGGAUUCAUGUCAUUUAUAUACAUUUGUAUAUGAAUGAUUUUUGUACUGUUUUUGUAUGAUUAUCAGGUGAUAGUGAAAUUGUGUAAUUGUGCUAUUUAUAUAUGUGUAAUGCAAUUUAUACAUUUUAUUUUUCUAAAUUCCUAUAUAUGUAUAUAUGUUAUGAGAGACUGAAACAUAAUGUUGUGGGUUUUUUUUAAUACAAAUACUUUGUAAUGUUAGAUCUCUGUUAAUAUGUAUUAUGUUAUAUUAAUAUGUACCUGUAUUUUCAAUAUUAUAUUGUAUGUUUUAAAUGCAUGUAUGCCUAUAAUGCAAGAUUUUUAAAAGGGUGUUUGUAAAUAAUUUAUAUUCUCUAAUAAAUGCACCAAGGGGUGUUACAUUUUCCAAAAGGGCGGGUUAAUCAAAUUACAAAAAAUGUUAAAUAUUGACAAGAUAAAAAGACUAUUAUUUUCACUAAUUUAUAUAUACUGGAAUGAUAAACAGUUGAAAUUUGUGCUAAUUUCUUUGGAUUUAUAUAAGUGGAGAGGAGGGGAGAUUUAUCAGAGUAUGUACUGUAUAUGUUGUAUUUGCUUGAGAUCGAAAAUAAGUGUUUGCUAGACUUAAGGUGCUACUUCCAUCAUAAGCAUGGACAUUAUACAUAAAUUUUUUGUUUGGUAAUUAAGAUAAAAUUAGGGUCAAUAUGAUCUGAAGUUGGAUUAUUUUCGGCCAACACAAGUCUUUACAAAUAAGUGUUUUUCAUGCUGUAAGAAAAACAAACAUAAAGAGCCCAACAUCCAACAUUCAAAAUUUAUUGGCGUGUUUCGCUAGAUAGCUUAAGACCUGUAACAAUUAAUCAAUUACAUCUAAAUCAUUGCAAAAAAAUAAAUGAAACACAAAGUUUGUAAUUGUUUGGUGUAUUUUUUUGUAUUACUUUUUUUCCCCAUAUUUUAUUAAGAAACAAACUUGGACAUUAUACAAGUUUUUGAUGUAAAGAGAACCUUAAAAGAUCACAUAAUUCGCAUAACAUAAUCAUGAUAUAGAAAAUAGUACAAAGCAUGUUUGAAGAGUAAAAUUUGUGGAUUGUCAUAUGUUAUGUUACUUUUUUUUUUUAAGCCAUUAGAAAAACAAAACUGUAAUAUGAGCCAUAAAUAACUGUGCAAUAACAUAUGGCAGUUAUGAUUACC